rnacentral:rRNA from 1 species
GGCGGGGGAUCUUCGGACCUCGCGCUAUGAGAUGAGCCUGCGUUAGAUUAGCUAGUUGGUAGGGUAAAGGCCUACCAAGGCGACGAUCUAUAGCUGGUCUGAGAGGACGAUCAGCCACACUGGGACUGAGACACGGCCCAGACUCCUACGGGAGGCAGCAGUGGGGAAUAUUGGACAAUGGGCGCAAGCCUGAUCCAGCAAUACCGCGUGUGUGAAGAAGGCCUUAGGGUUGUAAAGCACUUUCAAUUGGGAGGAAAACCUGCCGGUCAAUACCCGGUAGCUUGACAUUACCUUUAGAAGAAGCACCGGCUAACUCCGUG